CAGGGUGUAGUUCAUCGGCAGAACGCUGGGCUGGGGGUCCAGAUGUAGGGAGUUCAAUUCUCCCCACCCUGA
rnacentral:tRNA from 1 species